GACAGAGGGUGCAAACGUUGUUCGGAAUUACUGGGCGUAAAGCGCGUGUAGGCGGUAGGGCAUGUCGGAUGUGAAAUCCCGUGGCUCAACCACGGAAGUGCACCCGAAACUGCCCAGCUUGAGUCUCGGAGAGGAAGGCGGAAUGCUUGGUGUAGAGGUGAAAUUCGUAGAUAUCAAGCGGAACACCGGUGGCGAAGGCGGCCUUCUGGACGAUGACUGACGCUGAGACGCGAAAGCGUGGGGAGCAAACAGG
rnacentral:rRNA from 1 species